rnacentral:misc_RNA from 1 species
GAAGAGGGAGAGGGAAAAGAAUGGUUAAGAAAAAUAUAUUUGUUGAGUUUUCUUCUUAUUCUCUUUCUUUCUAAAAACUCAACAAAUAUAAUUCCUAAAUUUAAUCCUCUUCCAAUAUUGCAUCAAGCAGUCACAAGUGUUAAAAAUAGUGGGAGGAGAUACGGAUGAUAUCCUUAAAAAGUGGGUUUACAUGAAGAAUGAACUUUAAGUCUAUACCUAUUUACCUUAUUCAUAUUUAAGAUGGUCAUAUGGUGCAUGUUAUUUGUAGAUGAUUUUGUUUUAGCAGAUGAAACUAGUAAAGGAGUUAACCAAAAGUUAAAGCUGUGAAGGACUCUUGAGAGAAUGAGUUUUAGACUGCAUAGAAGUAAGACGGAGUAUAUGCAUUGUGAGUUUAGUUCUUGUAGAAAGAAUGGAGGUGAGGUUCAAUUGGAUGAAUUUUGAGUAUCAAAAUAUAAUUAAUUCAAGUAUUUAAGUUCUAUCAUCUAGAAAAAUAGAGUAAUAGAUGGUGAUGUACCUCAAGAUCAAAACAAUAUUGAUGAAAUGAGGAAUGCAACAAGUGUGCUAAUUCCUGACAAAGUGAAAGGCAAGUUAUAUAUAAUUGUAAUUAGACUCUCUAUAUUAUAUGGGAGUGAAUAUUAGGCAUCUAAGGUAUAUACCCACAAGAUGAAUAUGACAGUUAAAAUAUAUGUCUAGUUACACAACAAUGGAUAAGAAUAGGAAUGAGCACAUCCA